ensembl:lncRNA
GUUUAUUUGUAAUGAAAAGCUAAUUGCCAAUAUUUCUAAUCAAGAGAUUUCAAACUAAAACACCCAAGUAAACAUCCAACUGAUCACGAGAAAUCGGUGUCGCAGCACUUGAGCAAGACAGAGGGGUGCCAGAUGGCCCUGGUCCCCCGCCCCGCCUCUAGGGAUGCGCCUCCAAAAAACGCCUCCCUGGAUAACCCGCCACCUAAGGACAACCGUCUGGGGACCGCUCGGCGGGCGCCUAAUUGGCUGCGGACUCCGAACCUCUUGGCGCGCCUCGCUCUCCGGCUUGUGAGCCCUGGAGCCCGCAGAUCGGUCUUGGGACUUCUAGGGCCGGGAGGCGCGGGCGGAGAGGACUGGCGAGUCCAAGGCGCUGCUCGGAUUCCUCGGCGCCGGCCUGCCCGCAGGCCUGCUAUUGCCCACCGGCUACGGGGCCCGGCCUCCCCGCCGCGCCUCUAAGCAGGGGGACUCCCCGGCGGGCGCGCCACACAACGUCUCCCUCUGGCGCGCGCACCGGCCACUCCACAGCCCGGCCGCCGAGGACGCCGCGUCGCCGCCGCAGCCUGGCGCGCUCCCGACCCGCCAGCCAAUAGCCAGAGUCGCUCGGUGCACGUGAUACGCGUCAGCCAAUGGAGAGUCGAGGAGGUCCGUGACGCAAUGGACAGCUCCUAGGGUUUUCGAACCCGCGGGCGAGGCUAAAAGGCUGAUCAGGGCUGUGUGGUCGAGCGCUGAGCCUACGGCGUGUGCGUAGAAAGCGCGAGGACCCUCAGGGCGGUGAGAGAGCGCGGCUGCCAGCCUGCAGCACGGGGCAUUGACUCCCCAGGCGCCCCGUGCAGAGUCGCAGGGCACUAUCUUGGAUGUUUUAUUGCUGUGAAGAGACACCGUGACCAUAGCAGCUCUUCUAAAGGAAAUCGUGUAAUUGGGACUCACAGUUUCAGAGUGACCGGCCGAGGGUGAGCACCUGACCAGUGCUUUGGAAAUGGCUUUAUGUUUAGGUUUCGAGACGAUACAUGGUUGGAGAAAAUGUACUGUGUCUGUUACUCACUGAAUCACACGACACCUGACCAAACAACUUAAGGAAAGAAAGUGUCGCUUUCUGACGUGGCGAAGCUCUAGGUUCUGCCUGUCUCUUCCUCUGCAAUGCUGGGACUUCAGAUACUUAUUACAUGUGUUCUGGGGAUCUGAACCCAAGCCCUUAUGCUUUGGUGGCAAAUACUUGGCUGAUGUAGCCAUCUCCUAGCCUUUGGAUGCAAAGUAUCUUCCGUAUUAUCAGUAAGUCAACGAUCUCAGGAAUAAUAAGGACAGUCUUACAUCUAUCCAUCUAAGGUCUCUGGAGCCUUAGGACUAUAUUGUUAAGUCUGUUAGAUACUUUUCCACCUGUCUUCAAGGAACGUUCCCAAGGCAGAGAAUGGGGACUGUUUUAGCAUUCUAGAACUCAGACUGCUUCUUAUGAUUACCUUUCACCACUGGCAUUGAUCCCUUAGACUCAGUGAGAACCUGGGAAUCAUCUUCCAUCUAUCCCCCUCUGCCUCCUGACCGCCUGGCUUGCAGAUUGGACCUCCUCAGAACCACUUGAGUUAACAUGAUCUUACCCACUUUUGUUACAAUCUCCCUGUCUCAGACCAUCAUGAGGUCACUGCACCAGCCUAUGUGAGCCCUCUGCCUAGUCUUGACUGCUCUGAUCUAACACACAAACUCUCUAAAUAUAGUUCUGACCAUGCCACUGCCUCUUCAAAUGCUUUAAUCCCCCCCCCCAUCCCAAGUCUAAACCCCUUAGGAUGGCCUCGAGGGGCUUCAUGAUCUUGCUUGUGACCCCUCUUCCCAGCUCCACUUUCCCCAGUCUUUAAACCUAGCUGUGCAAACUUUGGCCACUUUGUCAGAGAAGCUAAGCCCUCUCUUGCCUUUGCCUGGCUCCUCUUUUGUCCCGAAUGCACCCCUUUCCUUUCUACAUUCUUUACAAUGUUGCAGAGUUAUGAGUUCUUCAGGGAAGAACUUGCCCAACCCCAGCCCCACUCCAUAAGCCCAGGAAUUAAAUGUCCAUCCCAAAAGAGCAUUGUAUAAUUGCGCUUAGCAGUUUAUCAUGAGCUUUUACAUCAUGAUUUAGUUUCUGCAAAAACACUAGACGUAUAUCCAUUUCAUAGAUAGGGAUCGUGGACAUUAACCUAUAAGAUUAGUCAGCUGAAUGCCAAACAGGAGAAGCAUGGUACCUUUAUACCUAUUGGAACUAAAUCACAAAGCAGACGGUGCCUGCUCCAGACAGUGACCUAGUGCUACAAGCCCAGAAACCAUUGCUCUGCAUUUCACAUCAUCCUACACCUUCACUCUGAUCUGGCCUGGCAGGAAGCCACCCUCUGUAGUUCAGCGUUUCAGGUUGAGGGGAUGUAUCUUUAAACGCUGAAAAUGUCAUUUUCCCUGACAUUUAUGAAAGAGCUUCCAGACAUGAAAGACAAUUAGCCAAUGGCUUUGUUGAUUAAUUCAUCACUUAAUUAAUGUGGAAAGGACACUUUGAAAUAGUCAGAUGAAAGGCUUGGAUAAGGGCAAUCAGAACAGACCACUUCCCUGAUGGUCCAGGCCCUGGUGGUGUGGGCUGUUCAGAAUAGAAACCCUGAUCGAGUCGGCAGCAAGAGAUUUCAUGGAGAGCGAAAAAUAGAGCUCAUACCUGUGCCUUGGGUCCGUGGUGCAGCAGAAAGGGUGGUGGUUGAUGAUCAAUAACAAGUGGAACCGUGGUGUGCAGCCUCUAGCACUCAGCAGGACGGUCGCAGUCCUGGGUUUCUGGAAUGAGCAGGUUUUGGAAACUCUUGACUUGCUGUUGGAUCUCCACAGAGGAUGACAGCCUUAACCAUGGAAAGCGAGGUAACCAUGUGACCAAAGCUCUCUGGCACCAAAUAGCAUUUCCUGCAAACUCACUCCUAAUACUGAACAGAGAGCUUCAGGUAGCCCAGGACUUGGGAAACAAAGCUGUAUCAGAGCUCUACCUGAUUUGGUAAACCAGGCACUAGUGGGACACAACCAUGUUGGUUCAGUGUGUGGUAUCAUUAGAUGUUCUAGUGCUUUGGAGUCCGAGCUGAGUACCCCCGACAGAAUGCUGAGUACCCCGGACAGAAUGCUAAGUACCCCUGACAGAGUGCUGAGUACCUCUGACAGAGUGCUGAGUACCCCCACAGAGUGCUGAGUACCCCUGACAGAGUUGCUUUGGCAUGCAAAGCAUAAAAUGCUUACAGAGAAACUGUGUCCCUCCAGCUCUAGUGGGUUUGCCAUUUUUUAGCCCUUGCAUAUGGACUCAUCAGCCAUUUAGAGUAAGGUAGAAUCUGAAGCCUGCUUUAUCCAGUAUGGGUAUCCAUUUAUCCCAGAAUGACUUAUUGACAAGAACUCCCUUCCCCUCAUUGAGUCACCGUGUGUGUGCUACUGUGUACUGCUGAUUUCCUAGGUCUGCCCCUAUGCUAACACACACUUGCUACUGUGAGGAUUUUGUUCUUUCAGACAAGGUCUAAUCGUGUAGCCCUGUCUGGCCCAGAAGUUACUAUGUAGACCCAGUUGUUGUCAAAAUCACAGAGAUCCUCCUGCCUCUGCCUCCUGAGUGCUGGGGUCAAUAGAAUGCACCACCAAGACCAGCUACUAUUAGGGCUAUAAACCAACUCUUAAAUGAAGUAAAACGUAUUUCUUCAAAAUAGUUUUUCCUAUAUGUCUCAGCAUAAUCAGCAGAAUCAGCUUUCAACUUUCUACCCAAAGGUAAUAAACUACGGAGAUUCUUUUAAGGAAGUCAACAACACUCCACUAACAUCACCAUAACAGACAAAUCACUGGAGGUUGAUUGUAAGCAAAGGUCAGAAUUCAUUUGCCACAGUCCCAGAGGCUGGAAGUCCAGGAUCAAGGCCUUGCUGGAUGUGGUGCUUGACAAGGCUUCCAAGAUCAAACCUUGAAUGCCCCAUCCUCUGGAGGACAGGGGACAGGAGAGCAAAAGGCAACCAAGGUAGAGGAAUCUCAGCUUCUCUCUGGGCCUCUUAUAAGGACUCUGUCCAUGACUUCAUCAGCCCGUACAGCGCUCCCUCCAACACUGUCCAGCUGACCACUGUAUGUUGCUUAGAAACUCUAGGAGUACACACAGACCCCAACAAGGCUUUGGAUCCAUGACUCCACCGGAUGGAUUCGUUCACUUGCUGUCUGUUGACUUUAUCUCAGCGAAGUUUUGGCAUUCUGAAUAUAGGUCUGUACAUGUUAAAUUUACCCCUAAAUUCUGCAUAUUUUAACCCUAUUAUAAACUAGCCCUGUUUUAGAUUUUUAUUGUUAGCUAUUAAGGAUGGUUUUUAUUGACUUUAUUCUGAAAUCACUGACUAACCUCAUUUAUUAAUUCAUGAAAAUUCUCUGUCAAUUAUGAUUUUCUGCACCUGUGAAUAAGAAGAUACUGUCACCUAAUUCUUUGCAAAUUUAUAUGUAUUAGUGUUUUGAGUGCAUGCCUGUCUAUGAACCACAUGCAUGGGUAGUGCCCACAGAGACCAAAAGAAAGUGUUAGAUUCUUUGGAACUGGAGUUACAGACAUUUUCCUUUUUUAUUGGACUGUCUAGAACUUCCACUGCCAUUCAAAUACAGAUGUAAACUGUGAAUACUGAACCAUUUCUGACUUUCUCUUUUUUUUUCUUUUCUUUUUUUCAGAGCUGGGGACCGAGCCCAGGGUCUUGCGCUUGCUAGGCAAGCGCUCUACCACUGAGCUAAAUCCCCAACCCCCAUUUCUGACUUUCUUAAGGAAGUGUUUAAUCUACUGUUAUUAAUUACUAAUCUUUUAAAUUAGGUAACUUCAGUUUUUCCGAAUGAUCUUUACUAGAUUAAAGUGCUUUCCUUCUAGUCAUAGUUUUGAGAAGAUUUUGGAAAAUAGUUUUACUUUUAGUUAUAUGUGUUUGCAGGGUUCUGCACACAUGAGUGCAGUAACCUGCAGAGACCAGAAGGGGGCAUCAGAUUCUCCGAGAGCUGGAGUUAGCCUGUAGUAGGGCCUGCAAGCUGGGGGCUGGAAUUUAGGUCCUCUCCAAGAGCAGCCAACUUUUAAUCACUGAGCCAUCUUUCCAUCCUUGAAGAUUUGUGCUUUUGUUUUGGGGUUUCUGUUUGUUUGUUUAAAUGUAUGUACAGGUGCUAAACCUUGUCGAACACUGCUCCUAUAUGCCUUGAAAUAAACACUUGCUAAUCUUUUAAAUCCAUAUUAGUCUGGUGAAUAAAUAAAUAUAUUUUUUAAAAUAUUA